rnacentral:sRNA from 1 species
AAGGCUGAUCUUAUGGGGAACAAAAUCCGCACAUAUGUCGACACAUUACUCUGGGUGCCUAUUUGGUGGAGAAUGAGGACAUAUGGAGGCCUAACC